AAUAGAUACCCUGGUAGUCCACGCCGUAAACGAUGAGUGCUAAGUGUUAGGGGGUUUCCGCCCCUUAGUGCUGCAGCUAACGCAUUAAGCACUCCGCCUGGGGAGUACGGUCGCAAGACUGAAACUCAAAGGAAUUGACGGGGGCCCGCACAAGCGGUGGAGCAUGUGGUUUAAUUCGAAGCAACGCGAAGAACCUUACCAGGUCUUGACAUCCCGUUGACCACUGUAGAGAUAUAGUUUCCCCGUUCGGGGGCAACGGUGACAGGUGGUGCAUGGUUGUCGUCAGCUCGUGUCGUGAGAUGUUGGGUUAAGUCCCGCAACGAGCGCAACCCUUGAUCUUAGUUGCCAUCAUUUAGUUGGGCACUCUAAGGUGACUGCCGGUGACAAACCGGAGGAAGGUGGGGAUGACGUCAAAUCAUCAUGCCCCUUAUGACCUGGGCUACACACGUGCUACAAUGGACGAUACAAACGGUUGCCAACUCGCGACGAGGGAGCUAAUCCGAUAAAGUCGUUCUCAGUUCGGAUUGUAGGCUGC
rnacentral:rRNA from 1 species